UGUGAGCGUGAGGGAUUGCAGUGAAAAUCCUUUCUAGUCCUGAACUUGUUUCAGGAUCCUGAAACAAGUUCAGGACUAGAAAGAUUGCAGCGGAAAGCCCGACCCUUG
rnacentral:sRNA from 1 species